rnacentral:lncRNA from 1 species
UUUCCUUUAUUAAGAAUCACUUAAACAAUCUACAAGAUAUGUUUAAUCAGAUUUACACGACGUUGACACAACUCGUCACUGACCAAUUCUUAAUCUACCCAAACUCACAACACAGCAACAGCUAUGCAUACACUCUGUUCACUCACCAAGAACCCUAACAGCUUCUAGCCUAGUACUUGAGAUUCACAGAGAUAGUCUAAACGCCCACCUAAACCUAAAGUCUAGACUACGAAUAUAAAGGAAGCGUCAUAGACAACUUUCCUAAUCUUCAGAUCACACCAAAUCUUCUUUCCUUGAUUUGAUCGUAUCUUCAAUACACCGAAUAACUUGAGCAUCACGUUCUGGAAACUUCCAAUCACCAAUCACUGCUCGCCACAUCAUCUUCAUUUAAUGUCUCGCAGUUUCCCGCAUACAGCUCUCUCCUGUGCUCCACAGGAUCUUCCUGUAGCCCGACAUCCAUAUGUCUUCAAUCUCCCCCUUUUUACCUGAAUGUGACACCUCAAGCUCCAGAGCUACCUGUCAGGGUUAGUUUGCCAAGAUACACACCAAGAAGCACCAAUGUAUAUUUCAAACUCAAAAGAAUUCUGAAAUAACAUUCAUUAGCAAAACAAAAACUGCUGGGGAUUCAAGUUUCAACACCCAAUAGAAGCAAAUACAGAACAGUAGUGCAAAAUCUAUCAAAGACACACUACACAUUUGCUCCCCCUUAUUACUAGGCCUAGUCUAAACUAAUCAGCCACUAGUCUCCUCAUCACUAGGAUCCGCAGCAGGAUCUCCAUCAAAAUUACCAUAUUCUCCCCCUGCUUGAGUGCACAUUCAUGUAAAAACCAAAAGCCAUCAAGUUAUGCAAGAAAAUCAGAUGAAGGAGAACAAACACUUACCAUCUAGGCGACGCUUUAUCCAAGAUAGCUACAGCCAGGAGAUCUGCAAGAUCAUCAUGAAGCAAGGUCCUUGAUGUCUGAAAUGGAGGUGCAGCAUUCUAAGCUUCAGCAGUCUCGACCCUGAAUACUCCAGGAGAACGAGAUAAUGUAUAAGUUGGCAGAGUCAGAACAACUCUCUGGGAGGACAGCACCAUAUCUAUCAGCAGAAGACGAUCAGGCCGCAGAGUAGUCCGAUUUGUGCCAGGAAUCCAGUACACAAAUGUAAGACUGUCAGUACAAGUUUCCAACUCAGCAAGAUUGGCAUAAAAACUCCUUCACCACCAAGCCGACCUGUAAUUGCAUCAAAAACUCGAAAUUCCAAUAAGAUACAUAAACCGGUUUUAACCGGUGAGAUAACCAAUUCACCCUUGCUUUGAAAUUCGUUUUAACAUGCACUCUGUACUGUACAGAUUGACACUGUUGAGCACAGGAAUAUCACAGGCAACCACUAAACAACCAGAGGCAGGAAGUGACCAUGUUAGAGAUCCAAAAUUGUUUUUCAUGAAACACUUUAUUUGAAAAUUAAGAUCAUUUUGGAGUCACUCAGUAAAUGUAUCACGUCAUACCUGUGAACACAGAGUUCCUAAAGUAACAUGAUAUGCACAGGAGCAAGCACAUCGAACUGUAAAACUGGAUUCAACCCACCAGCUCAGUGAGGUAGCUAUUUCUCUUUUGAGGAGCUUUCACACACACUGCUUCACUCAGACUAGUCUACACAUCUGCAUACUCAGCCAGAAAACAUUCUCAAAACAGCUUUCAGCUCCUUUUUUAUUAUUUUUUCUUCAUCAAAAAUGUAGGCGAAUAGUGGUAUCACGGGAAAUUUUCCUAACCUCACUUCCAUCUUUGUGUGAUCAUCCCUUUCGAAGUAAAAUAAUGAGGUCAUAGGAAAUUUUCCUACCUCUUUACUCAAAAGUAAAUAAUUUCAUCUUUUCAUUCCUUUGUUUUCUUUUUCUUUUCUCUUGUUUUUCAAUGACCAAGCUUGAUAUGUUGAGUGCACAGGAAAACCAUUUCUGUUGAACAUCGUCGAAGCCAAGUAUGCAGAGCAGCUCUUUUUCUGAGAGAAAUUGCCAAUAACUGGUUACAAAGGAGCUAAUAGGAGGUUUUUCUUGCUGUAGUCAGUACCACAUUAACCAAGGGAUUAAAAAAAACUGAUGUACUCCUGUGCAGUGAUCCUAUUCCAACAAUCCCUUAGUGACAAAAACCAGGUCAGUUUUCACAAAUACCAAGUGACUUUUGCAAAUUUGUGAAAGUGCUCAAAUCAAGUGGUUUAGUAAAAAUAUCAGCCAAUUGUUUCUCAGUAUCAAUAUAGAGGAUCUCAACAAGUUUCCCUUCAACUAGCUCUCUGAUGAAAUGGUGCCUAAUACCAAUGUGCUUAGUGCGAGUGUGAUGAACAGGGUUCUUAGUAAUAUCAAUUGCACCUGUAUUAUCACAGUUUAUCAACAGAAUUUCAGAAGUCAUACUAUAAUCCGCAAGUAUUUGUUUCAUCCAUGGUAGUUGAGUACAGCAGCUCCCCAUAGCAAUGUACUCAGCCUGAGUGGACGACAGGUAGACGUAGUUCUGCUUCUUGCUAUGCCAAGCGAUCAGGUUGUUUCCCAGAAAGAAACAUCCUCCAGAUGUGCUUCGUCUGCCAUCAAGACAUCCUGACCAGUCUGCAUCACAGAAACCUGCAUUUAGAUGGGAUACACGUAGACAUGUUUGGUAACGGGCACACAGACCAACACUAUAACACAGGUCUGGUCUGCUAGUUAUCAGAUACAGCAGACUUCCGAUCAUGGCUCUGUAGAGUUUCUGAUCAAUAUCCUGACCAUCUUCAUCAAUCUUGUUCUUGAAUAUCCACAUUGUGCCCACAACAUUUAUCUGUGCAGGUCGAGGUACCAGAUCCCACACUUCAUCUCUCGAAAACUGAUUUAGUUCCUUUGUACAAGUACCAUACCAGAAUUCAUCUUCAAGAGAUGCAGCAAUAUUCUUGGGUUCAACUAAACACACAAAACACGAGUGCUACAGCAUUUCUUUGAAGUUAAGCUGAACACCUCUGGUCGUUCUUUCAUUCAGAUCUCCUAUCACAUCAGCAGCUGAAUGAUACUUAUGAACAACUAGUUUCUUUGUCGUAGAAGGUACAACAGGUGACUGUGCCUCAGAUGAUACUUCUCUGUCAGUGAAUUUAUCUUCAAGAGCUGUUUCAGGUGCGUCUACUGCAGGUGCUUCUGCAAACUCGUCUGCUGUAGGUGUUGAUGCAGACUCGUCUGAUGUAGGUGCUUCUGCAGACUCGUCUGCUGCAGAUGCUUCUGGAGACUCGUAUGCUGCAGAUUCUUCUAUGUACUCGUCUAGCACAUGAGGUAACACAAAUCUAUUUUUAUCAUCAAAGACCACAUUGACAGCAUCACCAAUUACCUUGGUUUUCUUGUUAUACACUCUGUAUGCUGAGCUGUUUGUAGAGUAUCCCAAGAAAAUUCCCUCAUCACUUCUAGAGUCGAAUUUUCCGAAGUGCUCAUUUUCAUUAAGAAUAUAACACACACAUCCAAAUACACGAAAAUGGCUCAGAUUCGGAUUUUUUCCCUUCCAUAUCUCGUAUGAAGUGGUCUUUGUGCCAGGUUUCACAUAAACCCUGUUGACAAUGUAGCAUGCUGUGCUAACUGCUUCUACCCAGAAACCUUGAGAGAUGUUAUUACCAUGAAUCAUAGCACGAGCCAUUUUCUGCAGUGUUCUGUUUUUCUGUUCAACAAUUCCAUUCUGCUGAGGUGUUCUGGGUGCUGAAUACUGAUGUCUGAUUCCUUGCGUUUGACAGAACUGUUCAAAGAUCUCAUUCUGGAAUUCUCUUCCAUGAUCACUUCUUAUCUGAAUGAUCCUUCCCUUUUCAUUCUGAAGCUGUACGGCAAGAAUCUUAAAGCUUUUCACUGCUUCAGACUUCUCUCUUAGGAACUGAACCCAUAUGUACCUUGAAAAAUCAUCUACCAACACAAGGAUGUACUUCUUCCCAUUGAUACUUUCCAUUUGUACUGGACCCAUGAGAUCUAUAUGAAUCAGCUCAAGUACCUUUUUAGUUUCAAUUUCAGGUACCUUCUUAUAAUUGACCUUGAUCUGCUUUCCUUUGUUACAUACACUGCAUACAGACUCCAGUUUGUCAGCCAGUUUUGGUACACCUCGAACCACUCCAGCGUUCACAAUCUUAAUCAGGGUCUGAACGUUCAUGUGUCCAAGUCUCUUGUACCACAGCUCCAGAUCAUUAACAGACACAGACAAACAGAUAUCUGAUGCCUUCCACAUGUAGCAGUUAUUGCCUGAGCGCACCCCACACAGUACAGUGUUUCCAUUUUCAUCAACAGCUUGACAAUCAGUCCUAGUGAAGAUUACUUUCAGACCAUCAUCGCACAGCUGACUUAUGCUAAUCAAAUUUUCUUUCAAGCCUUCAACGUAGUACACAUUUAUCAGUGAUGGUUGAUCAUCACAUUCGAUGUUCCCUUUGCCUCUUAUACGUCCUUUACCACCAUCACCAAAUGUAACUUUUCCACUGGCCUCUUCUGUGAAGGUUGACAGAACACUUGAAUCACCUGUCAUGUGUCUUGAGCAGCCACUGUCAAAGUACCAAGGGUUAUUUGCAGUUCCAUCUAUAGAUGUGUAAGCUACCUUUGCAGUGAACUCCUCAUCUUUAUCAGACUCAUCCAGUUGUACAAUCGUCACGUUACAGGUCAGACUUAUUUCUUCAGAUUCAGAGACUGCUUUGUUGUACUGUUUCUCAUCAUGCUCUGAAUCUUUGUUGUACAGGUCUAUCUUGCGAACCCAUACUUUACCAAACUUGGAUGGUUCAAUAAAGCAUUUCCGUGCUUGCCACAGUUGCUUGAUCUUGUCUUGAAACUUAUAACAAGACCUUCUGAUAUGACCUGGUUUUCCACAAUAGAAACAUUCAAACACUUUUCGACCUCUGUUUGACCUGGUCCACUUCUUUCUGGAUGCAGUCUUUCUUGGUACAGUCUUCCUGUAUUGUACAGCCGUAUUAUUGUUUGACCUGGUCCACUUCUUUCUGGGUGCAGUCUUUCUUGGUGCAGUCUUCCUGUAUUGUACAGCCGUAUUCUAUGGAGCAUUCUGAUUCACCUUCCUAGGCUGUUGUUUCUCUUCCACUUGAGCUUCUUCAUCAUGAUAGGUUGUACUCCUCACGAACUGAACUGUCUUUGGCAUACCCAGAUAUGCUUUGGGAGCAUAUGACUGAUAGCCCAAUCCUCUAUGACUUGAACCAACUAUUCCCAUGGACAGAAUCUGAUCCAGAUUUUUACCACCAUUAUUCAGCAUUCUGAUCUUCUUGUGGUUCUCACUCAGUUCUCUUUCCAGCAUUAAAGCUUUUUCUUUCUCUUUUUCAUAGCUCUCAAGUAAACAUUUCAUUUUCUUCUAAAAAAACUCCUUUUCUGACUCAGGUAGCUUCUCGCCAAUUUUUCCUUCCUCCACUUCUUCUUCCAGCAUGUUCACUUGUGCCACCAGCAUCAAUUUUUCCUUAGUGAGCUGCAGCUUGUCAUUGCUCAGAGAGAUCCAGCUGUCAUACAGAGUCUUGUAGUCGUCACUAGUGAUCUGAUUUCCAUCAUCAUUAUCUGAAUCAGAAUCCUCACUGGAGUUAUUCUGAUCUUUUGCACUGAAUGCCACAAAAUUCAUCAUAGGUUCAGCUUCACCAUCACUAUCUGAUUCAGACUCACUGAAGCUCAACAAAGAUUUCUCUUUACCUUUCUGUGAACUUGGACAUUCUUAUUUUGCAUGACCAAAUCCAUUACACUCAUAGCACUUCAGCUCCUUGCGUCUUGCCACAGGACAUUCAGGUCGAGUAUGUCCUAUACCUCCAUACUCGUGACAUUUCAGAUCACGUUUCCUUCCUGAUGAUUCGCUCCUUACAUGCCUGCUGCCUGACUUUUCAGCAUCAAUUCUGUUCCAGCGACUGAUCUCUCUUGUGUCCCUGCUGUCUGUGUCCUUACCCUCUUUAACCUGUUUCAAAGCUUUUCCGAAAUUUCUGGCCAUGAGAGACAGAUUGUCUCUUAUUUCUUGCAGCGGAUCUGGACCCUUUUCUUCAUCAGCUUUGACCGCUAUUCCUUUGUUCUGGUUUCGUUGAUCUUCAGCAACUUCCAUCUCUUCAGACUUUAGAAUCCCAACCAGAUCUUCAUAUUUUAGGGUAUCUGUGUUUCCUGAAACUCUCAUGAUAGCUUUGUGUGCAGCGUAUUUCGGUGGUAGGCAACGAAGCAUCUUCUUCACCAGCUUUUACUCCUUGUACGUUUUCCCUAAUGAUUUUGCUUCGUUUGCAAUCCCACUCAGCUUAGAACUGAACUGAACAAUUGUUUCUGAAGGAUCCAUCUUCAGAUUUUCAAAGUCUGUAGCCAACUGGUCCAGCCUGGUGCGUUUUACACCAGUGUUGCCCUCAUGGGUUUUCUGCAGAAUAUCCCACAUCUGUUUAGCAUUCUCACUUCCUUGAACCAGAUUGAAUUCAUCAUCAUCAAGGCAUGAAUAGAUAGCAUUCAUAGCCCUUGCAUUGAACUUGGAUAAAUCCUUUUCUGCAUCAGUCCAGUUAGCUUUUGGUUUCUUCACUUUCAGACCGUCUUCUGUUGUGCUGAACGGAGGUUCCCAGCCAUCUUCAACUGCAGUACAGGCGUCCUCUCCCUAUCCUCUGAUUAACUGCAUCAUCCGAGUUUUCCAGUGACCGUAGCCUCUGUGAUCCAGCAUCACCGGUCUGUUGAGUUCUGCCUUCGACAUCUCUAAUCUGCAGGAUCUUAACCUGUAUUGAGUUAGUACUCAGGUCGGUCACCCGCUCUGAUACCAAUUGUUAUUAUAUAGAUAUUGAGGCAAUUGAAAAGAACUUCUUUUCCUUUAUUAAGAAUCACUUAAACAAUCUACAAGAUAUGUUUAAUCAGAUUUACACGACGUUGACACAACUCGUCACUGACCAAUUCUUAAUCUACCCAAACUCACAACACAGCAACAACUAUGCAUACACUCUGUUCACUCACCAAGAACCCUAACAGCUUCUAGCCUAGUACUUGAGAUUCACAGAGAUAGUCUAAACGCCCACCUAAACCUAAAGUCUAGACUGCGAAUAUAAAGGAAGCGUCAUAGACAACUUUCCUAAUCUUCAGAUCACACCAAAUCUUCUUUCCUUGAUUUGAU